rnacentral:rRNA from 1 species
UACAGAGGAGCCAAGCGUUGUCCGGAUUGACUGGGCGUAAAGCGCACGCAGGCGGAUGCGCGCGUGGGGUGUGAAAUCUGGCCGCUUAACGGCCAGGCGCCAUCCCAUACGGCGCGUCUGGAGUGAUGCAGAGGUCGGUGGAAUUGGGGGUGUAGCGGUGGAAUGCGUAGAGAUCCCCAAGAACACCCGUUGCGAAGGCGGCUGACUGGACACAUAUUGACGCUGAGGCUCGAAAGCAUGGGGAGCAAACAGG